AACGAACGCUGGCGGCAGGCCUAACACAUGCAAGUCGAGCGCGCCUUCGGGGCGAGCGGCGGACGGGUUAGUAACGCGUGGGAAUGUACCCUUUUCUACGGAAUAGCCUCGGGAAACUGAGAUUAAUACCGUAUACGCCCUUCGGGGGAAAGAUUUAUCGGAGAAGGAUCAGCCCGCGUUAGAUUAGAUAGUUGGUGGGGUAAUGGCCUACCAAGUCUACGAUCUAUAGCUGGUUUGAGAGGAUGAUCAGCCACACUGGAACUGAGACACGGUCCAG
rnacentral:rRNA from 1 species